rnacentral:rRNA from 1 species
CUAGCCUGCUCNCUGACAUAAAGUGUUAAAUAGUCGCGGUAUUUUGACCGUGUCAAGGUAGCAUCAUCGUUAAUUUCUUAAUUGGGAACUUGUAUGAAUGGUUGGAUAACGAAAAAUCUGUCUCUUGCACUGGAAUUGAAUUUAACUUCUAAGUGAAAAGGCUUAGAUUAUCCAGAGGGACGAUAAAACCCUAUAAAGCUUUAUAAAAUUAUUAAUUUCGUUUACUUUUUAUUAUAAUAAUGAUGAUAAGAGAAUUUAUCCGGUUGGGGUAACCGAAGCAUAAUUUUAAAUAGCUGAUAUAAUUUAAUACAAUGAUUUUUGUCUUAUAUAAUAAUUGAUCCUUAAAGAGAGUAAAGACCAACUUACUUUAGGGAUAACAGCGUAAUUUAUCCUGAGAGUUCUUAUCAAAGGAAAAGUUUGCGACCUCGAUGUUGAAUUAAAAUGUCUACCUAGUGCAGCAGCUAGGAAAGAAGGUCUGUUCGACCUUUAAUUUUUUACAUGAU